GAUGAAGAACGUAGCGAAAUGCGAUAAGUAAUGUGAAUUGCAGAAUUCAGUGAAUCAUCGAAUCUUUGAACGCACAUUGCGCCCGCCAGUAUUCUGGCGGGCAUGCCUGUUCGAGCGUCAUUACAACCCUCAGGCCCCCGGGCCUGGCGUUGGGGAUCGGCGGAAGCCCCCUGCGGGCACAACGCCGUCCCCCAAAUACAGUGGCGGUCCCGCCGCAGCUUCCAUUGCGUAGUAGCUAACACCUCGCAACUGGAGAGCGGCGCGGCCACGCCGUAAAACACCCAACUUCUGAAUGUUGACCUCGAAUCAGGUAGGAAUACCCGCUGAACUUAAGCAUAUCAAUAAGCGGAGGGA
rnacentral:misc_RNA from 1 species